GACGAACGCUGGCGGCGUGCUUAACACAUGCAAGUCGAACGGAAAGGCCCUGCUUUUGUGGGGUGCUCGAGUGGCGAACGGGUGAGUAACACGUGAGUAACCUGCCCUUGACUUUGGGAUAACUUCAGGAAACUGGGGCUAAUACCGGAUAGGAGCUCCUGCUGCAUGGUGGGGGUUGGAAAGUUUCGGCGGUUGGGGAUGGACUCGCGGCUUAUCAGCUUGUUGGUGGGGUAGUGGCUUACCAAGGCUUUGACGGGUAGCCGGCCUGAGAGGGUGACCGGCCACAUUGGGACUGAGAUACGGCCCAGACUCCUACGGGAGGCAGCAGUGGGGAAUAUUGCACAAUGGGCGGAAGCCUGAUGCAGCAACGCCGCGUGCGGGAUGACGGCCUUCGGGUUGUAAACCGCUUUCGGCUGUGACGAAGCGUGAGUGACGGUAAUGGGUAAAGAAGCACCGGCUAACUACGUGC
rnacentral:rRNA from 1 species